UUUAUGAUGAAGAUUCAUACCGCAUUGCUUCUGUUGGUCGGCGUUGUUGUUGUGCUUCAAGAAGUGCAGGGACAGAUUUUACCGGUCGAGCAUUGUUUGGCCUGGAUUAGGCCACCACCCAGAUGUCCAGUUAACGAACGCUUCACAUGCUGCAAACCAUGCUUCGAAAGGACGUGUCGCCCCAGAAACCUGUUGGCGAGAUGUUUUGGGCAAUGCUAUGGAAGAGGAUGUGUCUGUUUAAAUGGAUACGUACGCGUCACUCCCAACGGAAGGUGUAUCCCGACAAGAUCCUGCCCAAGAUUAGAUAUCUCUCUAGCGACGAUCGGUCCGAUUCCACUCUAAACUCUUUUGAUAGCGGAAAUCUGCAUCUCUCGGUGAGCUACCAAUAAAAAAUGCCGGUUCGGUUUUUAGUUGCAACUAAAUUAA